GGGAUCUGUUGGUGGGGAGGUGGUUGGAGGGGGAUCUAGUGGUGGGGAGGUGGUUGGAGGGGAGUUUUUUGGUGGGGAGGUGGUUGCAGUGGGAUCUGUUGGUGGGGAGGUGGUGGGAGGAGAGUUUGUUGGUGGGGAGGUGGUUGGAAUGGAGGGUAGGGUAGAGGAGAAAGGCAAAGAAGAUGAAGAGGGAGAAGAAGGCAAUGGUGAUAGAGAUGAGAGG